rnacentral:rRNA from 1 species
GAUGAACGCUGGCGGCGUGCCUAAUACAUGCGAGUCGAGCGAACGGACGAGAAGCUUGCUUUUCUGAUGUUAGCGGCGGACGGGUGAGUAACACGUGGAUAACCUACCUAUAAGACUGGGAUAACUUCGGGAAACCGGAGCUAAUACCGGAUAAUAUUUUGAACCGCAUGGUUCAAAAGUGAAAGACGGUCUUGCUGUCACUUAUAGAUGGAUCCGCGCUGCAUUAGCUAGUUGGUAAGGUAACGGCUUACCAAGGCAACGAUGCAUAGCCGACCUGAGAGGGUGAUCGGCCACACUGGGACUGAGACACGGUCCAGACUCCUACGGGAGGCAGCAGUAGGGAAUCUUCCGCAAUGGGCGAAAGCCUGACGGAGCAACGCCGCGUGAGUGAUGAAGGUCUUCGGAUCGUAAAACUCUGUUAUUAGGGAAGAACAUAUGUGUAAGUAACUGUGCACAUCUUGACGGUACCUAAUCAGAAAGCCACGGCUAACUACGUG